CGAACGGGUGAGUAAUGCGUGACCAACCUGCCCCAUGCUCCAGAAUAGCUCUUGGAAACGGGUGGUAAUGCUGGAUGCUCCAACUUGACGCAUGUCUUGUUGGGAAAGUGUUUAGUGGCAUGGGAUGGGGUCGCGUCCUAUCAGCUUGUAGGCGGGGUAAUGGCCCACCUAGGCUUCGACGGGUAGCCGGCCUUAGAGGGCGGACGGCCGCAUUGGGACUGAGAUACGGCCCAGACUCCUACGGGAGGCAGCAGCA
rnacentral:rRNA from 1 species